UACAGAGGUGGCAAGCGUUGUUCGGAAUUACUGGGCGUAAAGGGCGCGUAGGCGGUUCUGUAAGUCCCGCGUGAAAUCCCCCGGCUCAACUGGGGAACUGCGCGGGAAACUGUGGGGCUAGAGUUCAGGAGAGGGAAGCGGAAUUCCGGGUGUAGCGGUGAAAUGCGUAGAUAUCUGGAGGAACACCGGUGGCGAAGGCGGCAUCCUGGACCAACACUGACACUGAGGAGCGAAAGCCAGGGGAGCAAACGGG
rnacentral:rRNA from 1 species